GAAGGUUGCCCCAAAGAACACGCAUGAAGCUGGUCCAAGUAGUCAACAGAAGCAUCAACGUAAUAUACUUGAUGUAGACACAAUGCGAGCACUACUUGAAAGCAAAGGUCUGAGUAUAUAUAAGGAUUAUGAAGCUUCAGGAAUGCUUUCAGAGACAUCAAGAAAGCUCCUUGUGAAGAUAGGAGUCAGUGCGUUGGUGGAACAAAGUGGAUUUUACCCUUCUAAUGAAGAGAAACGGAUGUUGGCAGAAAGUGUGGUAACACUGUUUCCUUCUCUGAAGAUCAAGAUGGGAGAAGAGAAUGAAGGAUU